AGAUUAUUGUAAUUUUUAGUUGGGAACAAAGUUAUUGUUUGUGUUUUUUGUUUGCAUUCAAAAUUUAAAAUUAAGCCACCAUUAAAACAAGCGGUUUAGCCUCGCGAUUCGAACAAAUCUUUGGGAACUAUUUGUGAAAUAAAGGCCAAGAUAUGGGGAAAAAGGGUGGAAAGGGAAAAGGAAAGGGAAAGAAGGGAAGGAAGACGAUGGCAAAAUCUAUAUUCGUCCCUUCUGAGCCAGCUCCACCAGCUAAACCUGCUUUUAACAGAAGUCUGCCGUUGUACUCCUUUGACCUUAUUAUAACCCGCUUGGAAAUAAAGGGCGUGGCACUAAACGAUCCGCGAAAACUAGUGGUGAAGGUCAGUUUCGGAGAAAAUAACCUCUCUUUAACAGCUAGUCGGACCAAUGUGAGCGCUUUCAAGCCAGAUGCCAGCCUGAUCUUCCAGUCGGUGCCGAUGGAGUUGUCCACGAAACUCCAGGAGAAUGGCAUCGCCUUUGAGGUGGUCUACGAUGAAUUAACUGUUGGCAAGGGAAAUGCGGCUCUUCCCAAAAGGCUUACCAACAAUGUGGGCUGGAACAUGAAGGAGUUCAACUAUACAAGCACCUGUGCCCUGGGAACUUUGGAAAAACCAGAUGUUCAAAUUGGUGCUUUAGAAUUUCUGUGCAAGCUGUUCAUCAAAUGCAGUGAUUAUGCCAGGAAGGGAGAAACGUGCCCAAAUCUGAAUAGGAACAUCAACCCAAAUGACAUAGUAUUCGUUAUUGCCAAAUCGCCAAAUAGUCCCACCGAUUGUGAUGCCUGCAGAGGUGUCCUCGAAGCCGAGGCUAGAAAGGACCAGCCAAAGGACUAUUCCAUUAGUCAAGAUCCGCGUUGUGGCUAUUAACCCAGAAUUCAUUAGGCUUUACUUCUAUAAACUACACUUCUAUAAACAAUUUCGUACCUUGUUUUUUUGCUUUGAGUGGAAAGUACCAAGAGCAACACGUGGGCGGAGGCGUAGCCGCUUGGAACACGAACACGGCAGCAUGUUCUGAUUGUGGCUUUGCAUGUAGCUGACAAUCCCUAAGCGGACAAGCAGCCAUUCGACAACAUCAUUUUCGGGUGUGCGCGACAAGUGUUGGGUCUGCCCAGAACCGGUCGCAGGAUUCACAAAAUCCAGAGCCAUGGAUACGAACCAGGAGCUCUCGGGUCAGUCCGCAUGUCAUUAAUUACCAGGACUGGUGUGGGUUAGGCGACAAAUCGCCCUAACCCGAGAACAAAACCACACACACGGGCAAGUGGGACGAAUGGCAUAUGCAAAUCAUCGCCGAUGACGGUCUCCUUUUUUCAAGCAUUUCGAUUCCGAUUUUACGGCAGGAAAUGAACAGUCUGCAGCAAUUGCAAAAACCAAAACCAAAAACCGAAACCGAAAUACCCAAGUCGCUGUGCGGAGUGAGAGCUUUCGGUUUUAGGUUCCGGAUCCGGGUCUGGCGCCAUAUGCCGCAUCAUUUUGGCUUGUGCAGGAAAUCAAACAGAAUAAUUCAAUUUCAAUACAAAGACGCACUAACACACACUGCGGCACAUUCGCACCACCGGGAUGGAGGCCCUCAAGGAUGGCACGGACGAUGGAAGACGAAUCGACGACAAAGCGGAAACGGAAGUUUAUGUAAUUGUAUUCACAUACAAAUUCAAUUUCGUUUUCGGCACGAAAAUUGAUUUCCAUGUGACGAAAGCCUCCUCGUUCCUAUCCACACUUCCCGCGGGAACCUACUGCGACGUCAUAUCCGGCUCAAAGAGUGGAUGUUCCUGCACUGGCAAGACCGUCACUGUCGGAUCUGAUGGAAGGGCCAAACUCUCCAUCGGCAGCUCCGAGGACGAAGGUGUUCUGGCCACUCAUGUCAAAGCAAAGUUGUAAAGCACCCUAUUUAACCAGAAAUUUCUAAAUAUAUAAUGCAUAUUAAAAAAUA